UUUAUGAUACAAAGUAAGAACUAUGCUUUGAAAGAAUUGAAAGCAGACAACAAAAUGUUAUUUCAAGACUUGAAUUCUAUAGAAGAUCCAGAGAUUUGUGCAUAUGUUCAAGCCAAAAAAGCUCGUAUUUUACAGAAAAGAAAUGAACAACAGAAUCAACAAGCUUGGACUUCAUCAACCUCAUUUGGGAAAAU
rnacentral:sRNA from 1 species